rnacentral:pre_miRNA from 1 species
GCCAACCCAGUGUUCAGACUACCUGUUCAGGAGGUUCUCAACGUGUACAGUAGUCUGCACAUUGGUUAGGC